CAACCUACGGGAGGCAGCAGUGGGGAAUAUUGCACAAUGGGGGGAACCCUGAUGCAGCGACGCCGCGUGGGUGAAGGAGUACUUCGGUACGUAAAGCCCUAUCAGCAGGAAAGAAAAUGUCGGUACCUGACUAAGAAGCCCCGGCUAACUACGUGCCAGCAGCCGCGGUAAUACGGAGGAUGCGAGCGUUAUCCGGAUUUAUUGGGUUUAAAGGGUGCGUAGGCGGUCCGGAAAGUCAGCGGUAAAAGCCCGGGGCUCAACCCCGGCGAGCCGUUGAAACUGUCGGACUAGAGACGGCGAGACGU
rnacentral:rRNA from 1 species